AGCACUUGUACAUGGAGCUCCUUCAAGUCCUUGGUGUUAAUCAAUGCCUUGCCACCUUCUCUGUCACCCCUCCAAAUAGCUUUCUGAUCGGUGUCUCAGGGAAUGAAAGCACUCUUGACAAAGUUUUACCAGAACACAACAACUCUGUGAUCCGAUCAAGAGUUCCAAAGAGUUUGUGGCUGGUUCCCGGCCAGGUAUCUC